CUCCAGGUCAUUGACGGUGCGGUCGUCCCAGUUCAGCCGGAUGCCCACCAGGUUGCUGGGCAAGAAGCCAUUUUCUGCCAGGAUCACGAAGUAGGAAAAGAAGCCCCCGAGGGCCUGGAUCAUUCCUGGGGGCGGGGUGAGGAGAUGAGGAGAGGCUCAGGUCGGGGCCAGCAGCCAGCCCAGAGCACCGGGGAGGCCCUGCGAGACUCCCCUUGGGAGGUGGGGGGCUCGCUCAGAACUCCGGCCCCACGGUCACCUGAGGCGGGGCUCCCGCGGACCCCCUGAGCGCGCCACCUGGUGGUGAGCACCUGACAUGGGCCAGGACGGGAGCCUCAGGGAAGGGCCCACCUGGAGGCUCUCCCACCUGACCCAGGCCACCUGAACUUCAGGGAGUCCCUGGGAACCCCUGGGUUUCAAUCGGACAGGCUCCCCGAUGCAGGAAUGAUCUCCCCGGGCCUCUGACCACCACCAUGAAGCCUCUGCUUUCUGGGACGCUCCCAGCAAUGGGGAGGUCAGCACCUUCAAGGCUCUGUGCCUGGGACCUCCGGCAGCAGGUUGAGGAGGAGGCCUAUACUCCACCUGUACGGGCCCUGCCAUGCUGACCACCACCUAUCUGCAAGUCACUCCUUCCAAACCUCCAGCACCAAGUCCUGCUUCUAGCCCCCUCAUCCAACACAAGGUUUCAGAGUGCCAACUAUGGGCCAGGCACUGGACAUCCAGCUAUAAACCAGGUCUGGCGGUUGCAAGGGUGUGUACGUCUAUAAAAAUUCCUCAAGCCGCCCAGCUUCCUGCGUGCCUGUCACAUCUCAGUACAAACUCCAUCAGUCCAGUGUGUGUAACGUAAAAAGAGGCCCCGGAUGAACUCAGCCGGCACCUCCUCCCACCCUCCCGGGUGCGCUGAGAGGUGUGAGAGAAGAGAUGGGUCAUUCACAUGGCACAGAAAAGGCAGGGCUGCACAGUGGGUACGGAUGGCCUGAUCACCUUUGUGUACACGGAAGACCCACUAUUUCCUAUUCCUGUCGUGCCUGCUCUGCUCCCCACAACCUGCUGCUGUCUCUUCCCAAAGUAUUGACGGAGGAAAUGAAGCCUGAAAUGUGCUUCGACAGGGACGCCUGAGUGACUCAGUGGUUGAGCGUCUGCCUUUGGCUCAGGUAGUGAUCCCUGGGGUCCUGGGAUCAAGUCCCGCAUCGGGCUCCCCGCAGGGAGCCUGCUUCUCCCUCUAUGUCCCUG